rnacentral:tRNA from 1 species
GGCUGGAAAGAUGGCUCAGGGGUUAAGAGUGCUGACUGCUCUUCCAGAGGUUCUGAGUUCAAUUCCCAGCAACCA